rnacentral:rRNA from 1 species
UACGUAGGUGGCAAGCGUUGUCCGGAUUUAUUGGGUUUAAAGGGUGUGUAGGCGGUUUUCUAAGUUUGGUGUGAAAUCUCCCGGCUCAACCGGGAGGGUGCGCCGAAAACUGGGAGACUAGAGUGCGGUAUGGGAGAGUAGAAUUCCUGGUGUAGCGGUGAAAUGCGUAGAUAUCAGGAGGAAUACCGGUGGUGUAGACGGCUCUCUGGACCGCCACUGACGCUGAGACACGAAAGCGUGGGUAGCAAACAGG